AUUGAACGCUGGCGGCAGGCCUAACACAUGCAAGUCGAGCGGAGCGGCGGACGGGUGAGUAAUGCCUAGGAAUCUGCCUGGUAGUGGUGGAUAACGUCCGGUAAUGGGCGCUAAUACCGCAUCCUAUCAGAUGCGCCUAGGUCGACUUAGCUAGUUUGUGGGGUAAAGGCCUACAAAGGCGACGAUCCGUAACUGGUCUGAGAGGAUGAUCAGUCACACUGGAACUGAGACACGGUCCAGACUCCUACGGGAGGCAGCAGUGGGGAAUAGUGGACAAUGGGCGAAAGCCUGAUCCAGCCAUGCCGCGUGUGUGAAGAAGGUCUUCGGAUUGUAAAGCACUUUAAGUUGGGAGGCGUUACCUACAGAAUAAGCACCGGCUAACUUCGUGCCAGCAGCCGCGGUAAUUC
rnacentral:rRNA from 1 species